GCUCUUUGCCGUAGUUUAUCUACAGAACUUGGAUCCUUCCUUCCUUCCCCAUUGUUUCUGCGGAAGUGUUUACAAGUUGGACUUUUCCUUUUCUUGUUUCCAGCCAAAGACCAAACAAAGCUAAUCAUGGAGGGAGCUGUAGGCCGAGAAGAAGUGGGAAUCCCCACCUACACGCAACAUUUGAUCCGCGUCGUAGGGGAAACUUAAUUCCACAUGUAUCGUGCGACAGUGACGUAUGGAAUUCCCACUGAGAGCAUCCGAGGAUCCGGGCGCGUCGGGGAACAACGCAGCCCAAGACCCUGUCCUGCCGCAGGCCACAGCUGCUGCAGUUCAUUUCCUGAGCGGCAGAGUCUGGGGAUGCACUGCCUGCCCCCCCAACCUCCCCGGCCCGCACCACGCCCUUCAGACACAAGACAGUUCACAGCUCUGCUGAGUGCUGUAAACGAUGUUCUGCCCUCAGGACUGAAUGUUCUCAUUUUAUUUAGAAAGACACACACUUGCUGGUGGCUGAGGCAGGAGGACCCCUGAGCCCAGAGGUUGGAGAUCAGCCUAGGCAGCACAGCGGGACCCUGCUCAAAACAAAUUUUUUGAGUUAAAAAAAGAAGAAAGGAAAGGAAAGGAAAGGAAAGCCAGGUGUGGUGGCACAUGUGUGUAAUCCCAGCACUUGGGAGGCUGAGGCAGGAGGAUCAGCGUGAGUUCGAGGCCAGCCUGAGCUACAAAGUGAGUUCAAGCCCAUCCUGAACUGUACAGUGAGACCCUGUCUCAAAAAGGACAAAGAAAAAAAAGAAAAAGAAAUGAAGCAAGAAAAUAAAUUUAGGGGGCUGGGGAUUUAGCUCAGCGGCAAAAGCGCCUGCCUGGCAAGCGCAAGGUCGUGAGUUCCCGGUACCGGAGAAAAACCAAAAAAAAAAAAUAAAAUAAAAUAAAUUUAAAAGACCACUCAAUUAUGAUCAAGCACUUACAUCUGUGACAUGCCCGUUUUCUACUUUUGUAUCAUUAUCGCUGACAUCUAUGUGUGUGUUUCUGAGUCAGGGUCUUGCUUUGUAGCCCAGGCUGGCCUCAAGCUCACACUGACCCUCCUGCCUCAGCCUCCCAAGUGCUGGGAUGGCAGGUGUGCGUCACCGCGCCUGGCUUAGUAUCCGCAUUGUGGCUCCUCUGCUUUCCACUUCUUUGGUGCAUAGCUCACUGGCUGGGACGGCAUCCAGGUGAGCCGGGAGCAUCUCCUUUCUCUGGAGGCUUUUCCAGGAGAGCUCAUUCAUCACUUGCCGAGAGUGGACCACAAGGCUGGUUGUUGCCCUGAAUUGUUCUAGAGAGAAAUCCGGGGUGGGCGGGGGGCGGGCUGCUCUUGGGCCUGGAUAAUCCACCAGGGAAUCAGAUUUCCUUGAGGUGACCAAGUUAAUCUAUUGAUCCAGGUUACGAGGGAGCAGGGGUCAGGCUCACUGGGGUCCACCCUGCAGCCAAGGUGGACGCCGAGUGCCCCAGCGCAUACAUAGGUCGCAUAGGUCGUGUCCUGCCACGGUCCCAGCGCGGCGGGGUCACAAGACCUGGGCGGGGCAGACGCCCCAGGCUUCGGUCUGCACAGCCCUCUCCCUGGGCGUCUUCCUGCUGGGGAGGAGCCUGACACACACCUGUGCUUGGAGCUACCCGUCCUGCACACGGCUCCUCAAACUUACGUUCUUUACAUUAGGCUGAGCUUCAGAUCCACUUCCUCAGCCACUAGAUGCAGUUCCAGUGCACCACAGCUGUCCAGGCUGCCGCCCGCUGCCCGAGGCCCCGCAGGUGAGGAGCAGGCCCUGGUCGGAGGACUGGGCCGAUCCGCCUGCUCUGCAGCGCUGUUCUGAGGAGGCCGAGGGCUCUGCAGUAAUGAAAUGACUCUGCC
ensembl:lincRNA